rnacentral:tRNA from 1 species
GCCCCUAUAGCUCAGCAGGAUAGAGCAGCGGUUUCCUAAACCGUUGGUCGCAGGUUCGAAUCCUGCUAGGGGUA